UCCGAAUUGGUGUAGUGGCCAACAUUUGACGCUCUCAUUUACAUUGCAAAAUGUAGAAAAGCACCGUCAAGCCCGGGGUUCGAUUCCCCGAUUCGGAG